CGCGUCCGGUGUGAAAGUCCAUCGCUUAACGGUGGAUCUGCGCCGGGUACGGGCGGGCUGGAGUGCGGUAGGGGAGACUGGAAUUCCCGGUGUAACGGUGGAAUGUGUAGAUAUCGGGAAGAACACCAAUGGCGAAGGCAGGUCUCUGGGCCGUUACUGACGCUGAGGAGCGAAAGCGUGGGGAGCGAACAGGAUUAGAUACCCUGGUAGUCCACGCCGUAAACGGUGGAUGCUGGAUGUGGGGCCCGUUCCACGGGUUCCGUGUCGGAGCUAACGCGUUAAGCAUCCCGCCUGGGGAGUACGGCCGCAAGGCUAAAACUCAAAGAAAUUGACGGGGGCCCGCACAAGCGGCGGAGCAUGCGGAUUAAUUCGAUGCAACGCGAAGAACCUUACCUGGGCUUGACAUGUUCCCGACGACGCCAGAGAUGGCGUUUCCCUUCGGGGCGGGUUCACAGGUGGUGCAUGGUCGUCGUCAGCUCGUGUCGUGAGAUGUUGGGUUAAGUCCCGCAACGAGCGCAACCCUCGCCCCGUGUUGCCAGCACGUUAUGGUGGGAACUCACGGGGGACCGCCGGGGUUAACUCGGAGGAAGGUGGGGAUGACGUCAGAUCAUCAUGCCCCUUACGUCCAGGGCUUCACGCAUGCUACAAUGGCCGGUACAACGGGAUGCGACACGGCGACGUGGAGCGGAUCCCUGAAAACCGGUCUCAGUUCGGAUUGGAGUCUGCAACCCGACUCCAUGAAGGCGGAGUCGCUAGUAAUCGCGGAUCAGCAACGCCGCGGUGAAUGCGUUCCCGGGCCUUGUACACACCGCCCGUCAAGUCAUGAAAGUGGGCAGCACCCGAAGCCGGUGGCCUAACCCCUUGUGGGAUGGAGCCGUCUAAGGUGAGGCUCGUGAUUGGGACUAAGUCGUAACAAGGUAGCCGUACCGGAAGGUGCGGCUG
rnacentral:rRNA from 1 species